rnacentral:rRNA from 1 species
CAAUAGCGUAUACUAAUGUUGUUGCAGUUAAAAAGCUCGUAGUUGAACUUCUGGUAGGAGUGUCCCGGCCUUUUUGUUUUUACAAAUUGUAUGCUGUGUGACAUCUCUGGCCAUCCUUCUUCUUUGUUUAAAGAAGAUCUUUCACUGUAAAAAAAUUAGGGUGUUCAAAGCAAAAGUUUCUUUGGAAUAUAUUAGUAUGGGAUGAUAAGAUAGGCUCUAGAUGCUAUUUUGUUGGUUUGCACAUUUAGAGAAUGAUUAACAGGGACAGUUGGGGGUAUUCGUAUUUACAUGUCAGAGGUGAAAUUCUUGGAUUUUGGAAGGACGAACUACUGCGAAAGCAUUUACCAAGGAUGUUUUCAUUAA